CAAUAGCGUAUAUUAAAGUUGUUGCAGUUAAAAAGCUCGUGGUUGGAUUUCGGGGCAGCCUGGCUGGUCCGCCGCAAGGCGAGUACUGGUCAGCCGCCCUUCCUCUCGAAAGCCCCGACUGCUCUUUAUUGCAGUGGUCGGGUAGUUCGGGACGUUUACUUUGAAAAAAUUAGAGUGUUCAAGGCAGGCCUACGCCUGAAUACAUUAGCAUGGAAUAAUGGAAGAGGACCUCGGUCCUAUUUUGUUGGUUUCCAGGACCGAAGUAAUGAUUAAGAGGGACAGUUGGGGGCAUUCGUAUUUAAUUGUCAGAGGUGAAAUUCUCGGAUUUAUGAAAGACGAACAACUGCGAAAGCAUUUGCCAAGGAUGUUUUCAUUAA
rnacentral:rRNA from 1 species